GUGAGGAAUAUUGGUCAAUGGACGAGAGUCUGAACCAGCCAAGUCGCGUGAAGGAAGACGGUUCUAUGAAUUGUAAACUUCUUUUGUGCAGGAAUAAAGUGGGUUACAUGUAACCUUUUGUAUGUACUGUACGAAUAAGGAUCGGCUAACUCCGUGCCAGCAGCCGCGGUAAUACGGAGGAUCCGAGCGUUAUCCGGAUUUAUUGGGUUUAAAGGGUGCGUAGGUGGAUUGAUAAGUCAGCGGUGAAAGUUUGCAGCUUAACUGUAAAAUUGCCGUUGAAACUGUCGGUCUUGAGUGCAAAUGAGGUAGGCGGAAUGUGUUGUGUAGCGGUGAAAUGCUUAGAUAUAACACAGAACUCCGAUUGCGAAGGCAGCUUACUGGGAUGCAACUGACACUGAUGCACGAAAGCGUGGGUAUCAAACAGGAUUAGAUACCCGAGUAGUCC
rnacentral:rRNA from 1 species